rnacentral:rRNA from 1 species
CAACCCUCGCUGUGUCGUUAUAUGUGUCUACACGGGACUGCCGGUCUUAAGCCGGAGGAAGGUGGGGAUGAUGUCAAGUCAGCAUGGCCUUUAUAUCCUGGGCUACACACACGCUACAAUGGCCAGCACAGUAGGUUGCUAAGCCGCGAGGUGGAGCCAAUCCAUAAAGCUGGUCUCAGUUCAGAUUGCAGGCUGCAACCCGCCUGCAUGAAGAUGGAGUUGCUAGUAACCGCAGGUCAGCUAUACUGCGGUGAAUACGUUCCCGGGGCUU